UACGUAGGGAGCAAGCGUUGUCCGGAAUCAUUGGGCGUAAAGCGCGCGUAGGUGGCCAUUUAAGUCCGCUGUGAAAGUCAAAGGCUCAACCUUUGAAAGCCGGUGGAUACUGGGUGGCUAGAGUACGGAAGAGGCGAGUGGAAUUCCUGGUGUAGCGGUGGAAUGCGCAGAUAUCAGGAGGAACACCGGUGGCGAAGGCGGGUCUCUGGGCCAUAACUGACGCUGAGGAGCGAAAGCGUGGGGAGCGAACAGG
rnacentral:rRNA from 1 species